rnacentral:rRNA from 1 species
UACGGGGGGGGGCAAGCGUUUGUUCGGAAUUACUGGGCGUAAAGGGCUCGUAGGCGGCCAACUAAGUCGGAUGUGAAAUCCCCAGGCUUAACCUGGGAACUGCAUCCGAUACUGGAUGGCUUGAAUUCGGGAGAGGGAUGCAGAAUUCCAGGUGUAGCGGUGAAAUGCGUAGAUAUCUGGAGGAAUACCGGUGGCGAAGGCGGCAUCCUGGACCGAGAUUGACGCUGAUGAGCGAAAGCUAGGGGAGCAAACGGG